UACGUAGGGGGCAAGCGUUGUCCGGAUUUAUUGGGCGUAAAGAGCGUGUAGGCGGCCUGCUAAGUCGAACGUGAAAUCCCUGGGCUCAACCCAGGAACUGCGUCCGAUACUGGUUGGCUUGAAUCCGGGAGAGGGAUGUGGAAUUCCAGGUGUAGCGGUGAAAUGCGUAGAUAUCUGGAGGAACACCGGUGGCGAAGGCGACAUCCUGGACCGGUAUUGACGCUGAGGCGCGAAAGCCAGGGGAGCAAACGGG
rnacentral:rRNA from 1 species